CGGCGAGUGAAGCGGCAACAGCUCAAAUUUGAAAUCUGGCCCCCGGGUCCGAGUUGUAAUUUGCAGAGGAUGCUUCGGGCGAGGUGCCUUCCGAGUUCCCUGGAACGGGACGCCAUAGAGGGUGAGAGCCCCGUCUGGUUGGACACCGAGCCCGUGUGAAGCUCCUUCGAAGAGUCGAGUAGUUUGGGAAUGCUGCUCAAAAUGGGAGGUAUAUGUCUUCUAAAGCUAAAUAUUGGCCAGAGACCGAUAGCGCACAAGUAGAGUGAUCGAAAGAUGAAAAGCACUUUGAAAAGAGGGUUAAAAAGUACGUGAAAUUGUUGAAAGGGAAGCGCCCAUGACCAGACUUGGGCCCGGUGAAUCACCCGGCGUUCUCGCCGGUGCACUUUGCCGGGCACAGGCCAGCAUCAGUUUGGCGCGGGGGACAAAGGCUUCGGGAAUGUGGCUCCCUCGGGAGUGUUAUAGCCCGCUGCGCAAUACCCUGCGCCGGACUGAGGUACGCGCAUCGCAAGGAUGCUGGCGUAAUGGUCAUCAGCGACCCGUCUUGAAACACGGACCAAGGAGUCGUCUUCGUAUGCGAGUGUUCGGGUGUCAAACCCCUACGCGGAAUGAAAGUGAACGCAGGUGAGAGCUUCGGCGCAUCAUCGACCGAUCCUGAUGUUCUCGGAUGGAUUUGAGUAAGAGCAUACGGGGCCGGACCCGAAAGAAGGUGAACUAUGCCUGUAUAGGGUGAAGCCAGAGGAAACUCUGGUGGAAGCUCGCAGCGGUUCUGACGUGCGAAUCGAUCGUCAAAUAUGGGCAUGGGGGCGAAAGACUAAUCGAACCUUCUAGUAGCUGGUUUCCGCCGAAGUUUCCCUCAGGAUAGCAGUGUUGGACUCAGUUUUAUGAGGUAAAGCGAAUGAUUAGGGACUCGGGGGCGCUAUAUUGCCUUCAUCCAUUCUCAAACUUUAAAUAUGUAAGAAGCCCUUGUUACUUAACUGAACGUGGGCCUUCGAAUGUAGCAACACUAGUGGGCCAUUUUUGGUAAGCAGAACUGGCGAUGCGGGAUGAACCGAACGCGAGGUUAAGGUGCCGGAGUGGACGCUCAUCAGACACCACAAAAGGUGUUAGUACAUCUUGACAGCAGGACGGUGGCCAUGGAAGUCGGAAUCCGCUAAGGACUGUGUAACAACUCACCUGCCGAAUGUACUAGCCCUGAAAAUGGAUGGCGCUCAAGCGUCCCACCCAUACCUCGCCCUCAGGGUAGGAACGAUGCCCUGAGGAGUAGGCGGACGUGGAGGUCAG
rnacentral:rRNA from 1 species